AUGAAGUGCUUUGAGAGACUAGUCAAGGACCACAUCACCUCCACCCUACCUGACACCCUAGACCCACUCCAAUUUGCUUACCGCCCAAAUAGGUCCACAGACGAUGCAAUCUCAACCACACUGCACACUGCCCUAACCCAUCUGGACAAGAGGAAUACCUAUGUGAGAAUGCUGUUCAUCGACUACAGCUCGGCAUUCAACACCAUAGUACCCUCCAAGCUUGUCAUCAAGCUCGAGACCCUGGGUCUCGACCCCGCCCUGUGCAACUGGGUACUGGACUUCCUGACGGGCCGCCCCCAGGUGGUGAGGGUAGGCAACAACAUCUCCACCCCGCUGAUCCUCAACACUGGGGCCCCACAAGGGUGCGUUCUGAGCCCUCUCCUGUACUCCCUGUUCACCCAUGACUGCGUGGCCACGCACGCCUCCAACUCAAUCAUCAAGUUUGCGGACGACACAACAGUGGUAGGCUUGAUUACCAACAACGACGAGACGGCCUACAGGGAGGAGGUGAGGGCCCUCGGAGUGUGGUGUCAGGAAAAUAACCUCACACUCAACGUCAGAGAGGGUAGUAAGGGUGGAGAGGUGGAGAGGGUAGUAAGUUUUAAGUUCCUCGGCAUACACAUCACAGACAAACUGAAUUGGUCCACUCACACAGACAGCAUCGAGAAGAAGGCGCAGCAGCGCCUCUUCAACCGCAGGAGGCUGAAGAAAUUUGGCUUGUCACCAAAAGCACUCACAAACUUCUACAGAUGCACAAUCUGUAUCACCGCCUGGUACGGCAACUGCUCCGCCCUCAACUGUAAGGCUCUCCAGAGGGUGGUGAGGUCUGCACAACGCAUCACCGGGGGUAAGCUACCUGCCCUCCAGGACACCUACACCACCCGAUGUUACAGGAAGGCCAUAAAGAUCAUCAAGGACAUCAACCACCCGAGCCACUGCCUGUUCACCCCGCUAUCAUCCAGAAGGCGAGGUCAGUACAGGUGCAUCAAAGCUGGGACCGAGAGACUGAAAAACAGCUUCUAUCUCAAGGCCAUCACUCUCAAGGCCAUCACAAGGCCCAACUAA
rnacentral:lncRNA from 1 species